UCAAAAUAGAUAUGGGCCUUCAAGGUAUGAUAAAUAUUAGAUGUCUAUUUCAUAUCUCGUCAAUUUUUGGCUACAAAUUGGUCUGAAUUCAGCGAAAGGGGGAAGAAAUUCCAAUUCAUUAGUUGGUAAAAGCUCUGAAAGAUUAUCAUAUUUUCUGGAAUGUUAAUGUAAUUGUAGAGUUGCUCUGAACUUGCUAUCAAAUAGAUG
rnacentral:misc_RNA from 1 species